GGGUGCGAUCAUACCAGCAUUAGUGCACCGGAUUCCAUCAGAACUCCGCAGUUAAGCGCGCUUGGGUUGGAGUAGUACUGGGAUGGGUGACCUCUUAGGAAGUCUCGAUGUUGCACCCU